GUAAGAUUAGUUUAAGUAAAACAGUAAAUUGUGGUUUUACAGAUAAUUUAAUUUAAAUUAUUUUACU
rnacentral:tRNA from 1 species